rnacentral:lncRNA from 10 species
CUGGUAGGCUGCAGGCUGUGAUUUCAUGUGACUUCUUACUUGAUCCUCAUGACAACCCUCUGAGUAUUUACUCAGGAGGCAUGGAAACUAUGUCCCUACCAAGAAUUGUACAUGAAUGUUCAUAGCAGCUUUAUUCCUAAUGGCCCCAAGCUGGCAACAACUCAAAUGUCAAUCAAUGGGUGAUUGAUUGAAUACUCAAACUGUAGUGUCUCCGUGGAAUGGAAGACUACUCCGCAAUGAAAAGCAAUGAUUGGCUGGGCGCGGUGGCUCAGGCCUGUAAUCCCAGCACUUUGGGAGGCUGAGGCAGGUGGAUCAUGAGGUCAAGAGAUCGAGACCAACCUGGCCAACAUGGUGAAACCCUGUCUCUACUAAAAAUACAAAAAUUAGCUGGGCAUGGUGGCGUGCACCUGUAGUCCCAGCUACUCAGGAAGCUGAGGCAGGAGAAUCACUUGAACCCAGGAGGCGAAGGUUAUGGUGAGCCGAG